GACAUCCUGAGUUGUAAAAGAGGUGCUGUUAUAUAACACAGGCACUGUAUAGCAGCCUUAGGUUAUGAAUAUUAAGAGACAAUCUCAAAUGAGAUAAUAUCAAUAAAGACCUCCUGUCGUCUCUACCCAAGAAAUAAACUAAAGGAAGGCAGUGUCCUUGCAGGCAUUUUGACAUCAGGGAUGGGCAAAAACAUACAUCCAUUUAAGAAUUCUAGAAUCAGAGACUAGGAAGAGUUGAAACAACCUUACAGAUCACUUGAUGCACUUUAUAUAGACCCAGGGGAGAAACAAAAAGACCAACUACUAAAGCUGCUAAAACAAGAUAAAGCAUACUGCAAGGGAAAGGCUGGAGCAGUUCACUGGCUGAAGUUAUAAACUCCAUCAAGAGACACACAAUCAGAUGGCACAACUGUCUUCAGUGGGUCACAGUUUUCCAAAUACAAAGGCGGUGCCUACCGAAGCUCUGGGAUUCUGGAAAAUAUACUGGACUUGGAGUAAGACAAUCUCAGUCCAUGUUCCUAGUUCUAGGAUUUUAGGCAUAACACUUGGCUUUUAGGGCAUUGUAUUUUCUUUAUAGUAACAUGGUAUUAAAAUGAUGCCUAUCAACAGGCUUGUCAGGAUGAGUCAACAGCAUAUUAGAUGGGAAAACACCAUAAAGUACAAAAGGCUUGUUAUCGUCAGUCUCCUUUGGUUGUUAUAUUGGUUAAGAGGACUAAUUGUUGCCUCUCUCCAAGUUCAGAACUAAUUCAAACAUACAUAGAGGAGUCAGAGGUGGAUCAAACAUUAUUUUUAUUACUAGUUAAGUUGGAUUUAAGAACAUGGCUUGACUUAUAGCUUCCUACUGUAUCCUAUAACACACUAUUUUUUCAUAUUCUGCCCUUUCUCCUUGAUUAUACUAUAAGCUUUUGGAGAGAAGAAAUUAUGCUUUAUAUCUCUCUGCAUCCCUAGAGUUUUUCACACAGCCAUAACCCCAGCAGGUGUGCUAUCUGAUAAAGGAGACUGCAUUUGUACCACAGUUUUCUAUGUGAAGCCUUUUUUCUCCACUGGCCUGGGAACUCUUGGAGGGCAGGGUUCAUGUCUUUUCAUUCCCAGUGCUUAGCAUAAUACCUAGCACAUAGUAGAUUCUUUAUAAAAGUGUGUUGAAAGAUCAUGAAAACAGAAGGGUACCAAAUGAUCUGGUGCCACCCAGGGGUUGCAGAGAGGGAUUUAUUUAUUUUUUAUUUUUUUUUUAGGAUUAUUAUGAAUAACAGUGAAUAUAAAUAUGGAUUGAAAAUAGUCCUUUUGGUGAUUUCAAAAUUUUCUGGUUGGCCUCUGAGACAGGUGGCAUCUUAAUGAAAGAGGGGAAGCUCCCCAUCUGGGAAGGCUCAGAAGUGGGGCCUACCCUAUUUCCUUAACACUCAGGACACUAGGAAGCCUUGCAGUUUACUUGUAUCCAAGUGAGGGGAUUUGCCUAUUCUGUUAUCUACUUUGAAAUGUUAGCUCCUAAAACAUGGGCAGGUAGCUUAAAAAGACAUCUGAAAUAAACACUGGAUUGAAGGCAAUGCUAAUAAUGGAAGCACAAGUGAACAACAAGCAAAAGGCAGGCUGACACUUCUAUUAUUCUUGAUAUAAACUUUUCUUCAACCAUGUUAUAAAGUAAAAAAUAACGAUGAACUAAGCAGAGAGGGAUUUAAAGGAGGGCUGUCUUCUAAGGAUCCCAUUCUUGACAGUUUGUUCAUUUGGAAAAUAGCACUACCUGCAAAUUAUUGUGAUUGAAGGUUUUAUUUGAGACAGUUUUCCCCAGGAGAAACUUCAGCUUCUGUUUACUUGUUAGGCACCCUGGCUAUCUGGGCAUCUGAGCCCUGGACAUCUUAAUUAGAGUUGGUCUGCUAAUGUCCAUAGCAGAGAGGAACUGUCACUUGGUAAUUAAGUUAGAGCCAUGACAGAAGCCUGUGACAUCUGAUGUUUCAGAAUAUAACAACCCUUGUUCUUCUCCCAAGGGAUGCACACACCAUGAAACAAUUUCCUUUGGAGUUGCUGGUAGAAUCUGCUAACAUAAUAUCUAAGAUGAGAUGGCAUGCAGAGGUCUCUGUAAGGGGUGAGGACCUCAAAACACUCUUGUGAAGUAUGCUGCUCCUCAGUUCAGGGCCUUGCAGAGGAUCUGAGACAACAAACCUUCCUAUACAGAUAAACUCUCGGUGCCUCAGUGGAGUGAGUGCAUGAGAUGUGGCUUACUCAGCUGUGGCCACCUGGGCAGGGUUGUUGUGGAGUCAGGUCCUCUGCUUUAUGUGAUUGUUUCUGUGUUUUUUAAGCCCUGAGCUGUGCUUCCAGAGAUGUCUGCACCUGUGCACUGCAUUUUGGACUAUAUGCUCUGUGGACGCUGUGAGAAUCCCCUAACUUUGCUUUUUUUUUUUUAGGACAAAUCAGAAUAAAACAAUUCAACUUUCAAGGUAUUAAAAGGAUUCACCAACUCCUAUCUCUUAACACAAUGGCCAAAAAACUGCUGGACUCAAGGCACAGUCAUGUAUUCCUGGCAUAAGGCCUGCCUGGGUGUUCUAACUCAAUGAGCCCCACAUGCCAGACUAUUUCCACAGAGCUGAUAUGGGACAGGAAGGGCUAAGGAACUUCAAAACUAAUAGUUUGGUGCAACUGAUAUGGACCUGUGCAGUCACUGACCACAUGUAGCACUGAGAACUUGAAAUGUUGCAAGUGUGACUGAGGAAGUGAAUUAUUAAAACUUAUUUUUAACUAAAUUUAAAAGGUGAUAGCUAAUUCAGUCACUAGAAACAUUUUAAGUAUGUAAGUCUACUUUUCCAAUCGUAAGUUUUAUGAAAUCUAACCAACUAUUUAUGAAAAAAAUUCAGUGUCUAAAUUGAAGAUGUGCUAUAAAUGCACAUUAUAUAGGAGAUUUAAAAGACCUGGUCUGAAAAAAAAAAAGAAAGCAAAUAUUUCACUAGAUUUUUUUAUUGAUUAUAUGUUGAAAUAAUGUUUUGAAUACAUUGGUUUAAAUACAAAUAUUAUUUAAAUUGCUUUUGCCUAUUUCUUUUCACUUUUUCUACUGUGGCUACUAGAAAAUUUGAAAUUACAUAUGUGCCUUGUGUUCUAUGUCCAUUAGACUGGGCCAACCUAGACCAUAAUUCUCAUUCUCUCUAAUGAAGUCUCAUCCAACAAUAUGGACCACUUGAGAAACCUGCUCAUUGUUCCUCUGUCCAGUUCAUUCCACUUUAAUGCCAUGUUUCUUUGGUCUCCCAUGUGCCAGGCAUUGUUCUAGGCUAAGAAUACACCAUGUG
rnacentral:lncRNA from 1 species